AGAGGGUUGUUUGCGCAAAGGGGGAUGGGUCAGCAGAGAAGAGGCCAAAUGAGGUCAGGGAAAGGUCAGGAAAAGGGUGUUGCCAGAUCAGAGAUGAGGUUGGGUCAGAGUGGGGGCCGCUUGGCUGGAGGUCGGUUGUGUUGACAAUGCACUGCGCCGGACCGCAGGAGUGAAAUUGGACAG
rnacentral:ribozyme from 16 species